KCCUACACAUGCAAGUCGAGCGAGAAAGCGGCUUYGGCCGUGAGUACAGCGGCGAACGGGUGARKWACACGUGGGCAACCUGCCCCGGAGACUGGGAUAACARCCCGGAAAGGGCUKCUUAAUACCGGAUGAUGUGCGACCUGCCAAGUGGGUCGUACCAAAUGGUAGCUUCGGCCUCUGCUCUGGGAUGGGCCCGCGGCGGAUUAGCUUGUUGGUGGGGUAACGGCCCACCAAGGCGACGAUCCGUAGCUGGUCUGAGAGGACGAUCAGCCACACUGGGACUUGAGACACGCCCAGACUCCUACGGAGGCAGCAGUGGGAAUCUUGCGCAAUGGGCGAAAGCCUGACGCAGCAACGCCGCGUGAGCGAAGAAGGCCUUCGGGUUGUAAAGCUCUGUCAGAGGGACGAAGCCACUCGGGUAACAGCCCAGAGGGUGACGGUACCUCCAGAGAAGCCCCGGCUAACUACGUGCCAGCAGCCGCGGNAUAC
rnacentral:rRNA from 1 species